UCUGCAGCAGAAGGUUGGAUCCAGGAGGAUGACUGCAGGUGGACACAGGCAGGGUGCUAGGUGUGCAUCCUCACAGGCUAGGUCUUGGGAGCCAUGGAAAAGGAAGAGCAGAGAAAAAUCAUGAGGGGCAGUGGGUGCUGAAGUGGAGCGGUGACUCUGAUUACUCAUCCGUGUUCAUCGAGUCGGGCUCAGGUGCACUUCCAGAGGAAGUGUCCAGGAGCCCCAGCCCGAGGAGAAGCUGGCAGAAGUGGAUCUGAUCAGCCUGAACAUCCUUCUAAGCAGACAUGAGCAGUCCUCAGCUUUCUGCCUCACACAUAACAACACUUCAUGACUUUUAGCAGCACGGCUGAAGCUUAAGAUAAAUGCAUGGUAGAGGCUGAGUACAGGCGGCUGCUUCACUUUAGUAACACAGACAAAGAAGUCAAGGGUAAGAGCCCACCCCUGUUGUGAGAUGGAAAGCACACAAGAGCCGUGAGACAGUGAGCAUUGUUGAUGCCAGGAUAUGCAGA